UCAAUUCAAAAUUAGGUGAAAAGGAUACAGGCUAGCUUAAUAAUUUAGAGAGAUAUGUUUGAUUUCAAUCGACAGGGUGAGAUUUGAGUUAAAUGAGAAGUAAGGAUGUCUUCUCUUCACAAAGUGAAGUAGGCAAAAAGACUAAUUAAAAACGAGUAUACAUUAUUUCUUUUAGAAUAUUGAACACGUUUAAUUUAUUUUAGUACUUAAAUAAAUAAAGUACUAAUAUUCAGUCCGUGCAUUAGCAGUAUCAUAUGUAUUCUGUUGACUUUUAUACUUUUUUCUCAAUGGUAUAAAUAAAGUACUAAUAUUUU
rnacentral:lncRNA from 1 species